AAGAAGAGAGGGUGAGUGCACAGGGUUGGAGGACCCGUCCUCCCCAUUCCAUACUAUGCUGCUGUUUGUGCUGGGGAAGGAGGGAGGGCCCUGGGUGUCUGCACCAGGAGAGCGACAGCUAAGUGGCAGUGUUUGCAACAAUUGGAAGCUAGUACUAAAUACUCACCUAGUGACCCUGACAAUUUCAUAAACAUAGUUCUCAUGGUGGAAAAAGCAAUACAAUGAGGUCGGCAGCACACUAUUCUAUACAUAAAUUAAAACACGUGCAAACAGAAAGCCAACACCCAUUUUGCAAAAAUACAUAUGAAAAACAGAUACCCAUUAAGCAUAUCAGAAAGGUUGACCUUGACGGCGGGAGUUAUUGCGGCCUGGGGGGGUGGGGGGGUUAAAAAAGAAAACCACAGGCCCAAAAUGGCGUCACUUCCGUUAAGGCCCCAAGUGUAAACCGAGACUUAAUAGCUAACCUGACUGCAGUUUCAGUCCCCCAGGACUAUAACCCUUAACCAGUCAACAUGGGACUUCCCAGAGAGCACUAGGCAAUUUACCGUGGGGCCCCUUCCAUUCCCCUUAGGAGGGUGACCUUGCCUAAAACAAUGGUUUCUCUCCUAAUAAUUUCUUUUUUUCUGUUCUCUACCUUUUAAAAACUUGAAUUUUCUGUAGCCCUUUGGAGCUCCCCUCUCCUUGCUAACUGGGAAGCUGGCCAAAUUCAUGAAUUGACUACUGACAAAGCCAGUUAGGUAUUUAAAAUGUACUCAGUUGAAUUCUUGUUCUAUAACAGAGACAAAAGAGAAGAUAAACAGCGAGAAUAAAUAGCUAAGACUGGAGAGGGCGCUCACACAAACUAAUGAAGAAAAUGGGCCCCAACUGAAGAAUUUUGUCAAAAUCAGGACACGUCGGUGAAAACCAAGGAGGUGAAGCUAGAAAUGGACUCUGUCCCUCCCCAUCCACCUCCUCGCUCCCCACCAGCCCCUCGCGGCGAGUGGCUGAGCCUGGUGCUCCUGCGCCCUGCACCCUGACCCCUGGUUACGGGGCAGCAGUCCAUGCAGCAAGCAGAGAGGUGCUCUGAGAAGCUACGCAAAAAUGAAGGCUUUCCUAAGAAGGAGAAGGUGAGGUAAGGCGUUAACAGCAAAAGAAAAGGAAGGAUUGUUUCAGGCCAGGACAUCAGGGAGAAACAGCUUGUAUCACACAGAUGGCAGAUGACCUCACUAGUGCUGAGCCGGACAUGUCAGAUGGACUUACAAAAGGUCACCUUCCUGGGAGAGGCUGACAUUGUGAUGAAGCCUUGGGUGUGCUGUGGGGGGGGGGGGCAAAUGACUCCAAUGUGGGCUUAUUUCUUUUUGAACAGGGUGGAGCUUUGAUGGGGGGAGGGGACACCUGAAGUGGGGUGCCCACAACUUUGAAAAAGUUGAGGGGUUCCAGUGGGGACAGAGAGACCGCUCUGAGUUUGUCAGGGCAGCAGGUCUGGAAAGGGUCCUGGAAAGGAGUAAGGUAGGGUAGGAAGUGGCCCUUCUUUCUCCAGGAGGGCUGCUUCCUUCCUCCCACCUCC